GCCUCAGACGUGGCGACUCAUAAUAGGCUGUGUGACGAUCAGGCCAUUUGACGUGACCAAAGGCACUCGUUGGGAUUUACAGGCACACGCGCACAAAGCGUUCUUAUGCCAACGACAAGGCAUUCUUAUACCAACGGCAAGCCAAAUGUCAUCGCCAUUUUGUAAUGGCGAUGUGCUUAUGAAGUGGCUUCCCACAGGAAGCCAUUGAAGGAACAAAGGAAAGAGAAGAUUGGAUUAUCUGAAAGAAGAUACCAUUACAUGAACCACUGCAGAUAAAGCAGAACAAGUAUCCUGGUUAAGUGGCAGACAUAUUUGGUAGUGAAUAUAUUGCUGGUCAAGGUACUGAGAGUAAAUGGCAUGUGAUUAUUUGUCUCUAAACAGAAUGUGUGUUUCACCCAGGAAAACAAUCAUGAAACAUCAGAGAGUUUGAAGAAAAAAAAGAAUAUUAAAUCUGAACAUUUAGGAAA